rnacentral:rRNA from 1 species
GAUGAACGCUGGCGGCGUGCCUAAUACAUGCAAGUCGAGCGAACAGAUGAGGAGCUUGCUCCUCUGACGUUAGCGGCGGACGGGUGAGUAACACGUGGAUACCCUCCCUAUAAGACUGGGAUAACUUCGGGAAACCGGAGCUAAUACCGGAUAAUCUAUUGAACCGCAUGGUUCAAUAGUGAAAGACGGUUUUGCUGUCACUUAUAGAUGGAUCCGCGCCGCAUUAGCUAGUUGGUAAGGUAACGGCUUACCAAGGCAGCGAUGCGUAGCCGACCUGAGAGGGUGAUCGGCCACACUGGAACUGAGACACGGUCCAGACUCCUACGGGAGGCAGCAGUAGGGAAUCUUCCGCAAUGGGCGAAAGCCUGACGGAGCAACGCCGCGUGAGUGAUGAAGGUCUUCGGAUCGUAAAACUCUGUUAUUAGGGAAGAACAAAUGUGUAAGUAACUAUGCACGUCUUGACGGUACCUAAUCAGAAAGCCACGGCUAACUACGUG